rnacentral:rRNA from 1 species
AUUGAACGCUGGCGGCAUGCCUUACACAUGCAAGUCGAACGGUAACAGGUCUUCGGAUGCUGACGAGUGGCGAACGGGUGAGUAAUACAUCGGAACGUGCCCGAUCGUGGGGGAUAACGGAGCGAAAGCUUUGCUAAUACCGCAUACGAUCUACGGAUGAAAGCAGGGGACCGCAAGGCCUUGCGCGGACGGAGCGGCCGAUGGCAGAUUAGGUAGUUGGUGGGAUAAAAGCUUACCAAGCCGACGAUCUGUAGCUGGUCUGAGAGGACGACCAGCCACACUGGGACUGAGACACGGCCCAGACUCCUACGGGAGGCAGCAGUGGGGAAUUUUGGACAAAGGGCGAAAGCCUGAUCCAGCCAUGCCGCGUGCAGGAUGAAGGCCUUCGGGAUGUAAACUGCUUUUGUACGGAACGAAAAGACUCUUUCUAAUAAAGAGGGUCCAUGACGGUACCGUAAGAAUAAGCACCGGCUAACUACGUG